rnacentral:lncRNA from 1 species
GGCAACCGGCGAUGUGGGGAAGGGAAACGAGCAUUUUCUGAGCGGCGAUCCGAGUCGGAGUGCCUCUGUUUAGAUGCAGAUGUGGUGGCAUGUUGCAGCGCGUAGGUAGGAAUUCUGAAGGAGGCGUACGCAGGUGUGGGACGGCAGCGGCAGACGCGUGCGACAUGGCCAGCGAUGCCACACGCGAAGCAGAUAGGGCGGUUGUCAUGGGUGCGCCACGCAUCUGUUGGACGGAAGAAGUGUGGUGGGGGCCUGAAAACUGGAGGCGAGGCGGGAUGGGGUGGUGCUGAUAAAGGAGCUUGGGUGCGGUGGGGGCCGCGGACCACAGCUGCGUAGC